rnacentral:tRNA from 1 species
GAUGAGAUGGCUGAGUAUGGUAAAGCAACAGUUUGCUAAACUGUCAAGACAAAAGUCUUGCAUGGGUUCAAAUCCCAUUCUUGUUA